rnacentral:rRNA from 1 species
CCUACGGGUGGCUGCAGUCGAGAAUCAUUCACAAUGGGGGAAACCCUGAUGGUGCGACGCCGCGUGGGGGAAUGAAGGUCUUCGGAUUGUAAACCCCUGUCAUGUGGGAGCAAAUUAAAACGAUAGUACCACAAGAGAAAGUGACGGCUAACUCUGGACCAGCAGCCGCGGUAAUACCGAGGGCUCAAGCGGUGUUCGGAAUCACUGGGCGUAAAGCGUGCGGAGGCUGUUUCGUAAGUCGUGUGUAAAAGUGGCGGGCCGAACCCGCGGACGGCCCAUGAAACUGUGAAACUUGAGUAAGGGAGAGGGAACCGGAAUGCUCGGUGUAGCAGUGAAAUGCGUAGAUAUCGAGAGGAACUCUCGUGGCGAAGGCAGGUUCCUGGACAUUAACUGACGCUGAGGCACGAAGGCGAGGGGAGCGAAAGGGAUUAGAUACCCUAGUAGUC